GUUUGUUUGUGUGUGUGUGUGUAUGAGUGUCUGUCACUGAGAUUGUGUUUUUGUCAGCUAGUGUAUGUGUGUCUGUGAGUGGGUGUGUGUUUGUCACUGAGUACAUGUAUAUCUGUCAGUGAGUGUGUUUGUGUGUAUCUGUCAGUUAGAAUAUGUGUGUCUCAGUGUGUGUGUCUGUCAGUGAGUGUGUAUGCAUUUCUGUCAGUGUUUCUCUUGUCAGUGAGUGCAUGUCUGUCGGUGAAUGUGUGUGUCUGAUGAAUGUGAGUGAGUGUGUAUUUCUGUGUCUCAGUGAAAAUGUGUGUUGGUUAAACAGUGUGACAAUGACUAUCUGUCAGUGAGUGUAUGUCUGUAAGGAAGAGGGGGGAAGGGGAAGGUGCCCGAGUUUUGUCAUGCCUAGGGCAGCACAAAACCAGUAUACACCACUGGGUACAUCCCCAGCUGGCAAAGCAUUGUGGUAGUUCUAUGACAGAAGGGAAUCUACAUUUUUGUUUAUCUUUGUGAUAG